GACGAACGCUGGCGGCGUGCUUAACACAUGCAAGUCGAACGAUGAAGCUAGAGCUCGCUCUGGUGAAUUAGUGGCGAACGGGUGGGUAACACGUGAUUCACCUGCCCCGAACUCUGGGAUAACUGCUGGAAACGGUAGCUCAUACUGGAUACGACCUACGAAGGCAUCUUCUGUAGGUGGUAAGAAUUUCGGUUCGGGAUGGACUCGCGGGCGAUCAGCGUGUUGGUGAGGUAAUUUCCUACCAAGGCGACGAAGGGUAGCCGGCCUGAGAGGGUGACCGGCCACACUGGGACUGGGAUGCGGCCCAGACUCCUACGGGAGGCAGCAGGGGGAAAUAUUGCACAAUGGGCGCGAGCCUGAUGCAGCGACGCCGCGUGAGGGAUGACGGCCUUCGGGUUGUAAACCUCUUUCAGCACCGACGAAGCGCAAGUGACUGUAGGUGCAGAAGAAGGACCGGCCAACUACGUGCCAGCAGCCGCCGUAA
rnacentral:rRNA from 1 species